GAACUCCAAGGGCAGGAGGUAACCAUUAAAGAGGACCAUCAUGUAGUGUGAGGAGUCAACAUUUCACACUAGAAAGCCCUUGGUUCAAGUUUUGUCUCUGCCACCUACAGAUUUUGUAACCCUGAGGAAACUAGCUACCUCUUUAUGUACUGCCCUAUGGAGAGGCACACAUGUCAAGAAACUGAGGGAGUGCCUUCCAGUCAACAGCCAGCCAGGAACUAAGGUGCUCAGUACAGCAGCCUCCACAAAGGACUGAACAAUGCCAACAGCUAUUUGACUGUGCUUGGAAGAUCUCCGUUUAGUUAACCCUUCAGAUGAGACCGCAGCCCUGGCCAGCAAACAAAUUGCAGCCUAUGGAAAGACCUUAAGGCAGAAGCACCCAACUGAACCACCCGAGGGCUCUGACUUACAGAAACUGUGAGCAUAUAGUGAAAUGGCCUCUACCUUAUUUUGAAUGGAUUUCUGGGAUAAAGUUCUUCAGUGAUAACAUGUUUGAAGCGGCUAUCUUAUGUGCCCAUGUUACAUGCUCAUGAUAAAGCUGCAUUUCCUGAGGGGACACCAAUGGAUACACCUCUGCCUGGCACGCAGCUUAGAGGCUAAAUGUAUGAAAAGCAACACCAUGCAAAUCAUUUUGAAACUGCUGUGGAACUCUCACGGGACCCUCCAUUCUAGACAUCCAGUCCCACUAGUGAUCUGACCAUGAAACCUACUAAGAGACUUCCAGAAGAAGAUGACCUCUGAAAGGAGAAAACUUUCUUCCAAGCUUCUGUGGAACAAGAAGAUGCCAUCCCUUUGGUGGAGCCCAAAGGGAAACCAGAAUGGCAAAUUGAGUCAUGUGAAGUUUCGGGA
rnacentral:lncRNA from 1 species